rnacentral:rRNA from 1 species
UUUUUGAAAAUAAUUUAAAGUCUAAUCUGCCCACUGAUAUUAUAUUAAAGGGCUGCAGUAUUUUGACUGUACAAAGGUAGCAUAAUCAUUAGUCUCUUAAUUGGUGACUUGUAUGAAGGAUUUGAUGAAAUAUAAACUGUCUCAUUUUAAUUUAUUGAAUUUAAUUUUUUAGUUAAAAAGCUAAAAUUUAAUUAAAAGACGAGAAGACCCUAUAGAGUUUAAUAAUUUAAUUAGUUAUUAUUUUAUAUAAUUUUUUUUUUAAAAAUUAAUUAAAUUAUUUUGUUGGGGUGAUAGAAAAAUUUAAUUAACUUUUUAUAAAAAUUAACAUUAAUUUAUGAAUAAAUGAUCCGUAAUUUACGAUUAUAAGAAAAAAUUACCUUAGGGAUAACAGCGUAAUUUUUUUUUUUAGUUCAAAUAAGAAAAAGAGUUUGCGACCUCGAUGUUGGAUUAAGAUAAAAUUUAAAUGCAAAAGUUUAAAAUUUUU